UACUAAUACAUACUAUUAUAAUAUACCUAAUAUAAUAUUGUACACACACAUUUGAACCAUAUCCUUCAUGUAUAUAACAUUAAUUAAGAUUAUACGAGGUAAUCGCUUAUACAUUUAACAAGCUAAAUAGGAUUUAUUAUAAGUUAGCAACACUCUCCAUAUUAAAAACCCUCAAAUUCCGAAAACUUCAACCCCUAAAGCUAAGUGUAUUAGAAAUAAAACUUACAGAAGAUAGCUUUGGCAAGUCAUUUGCAUAUUGCUUGGAUUGUUCAAACAUUCAGCAGCAAGACAACUUCUGUAAGUUUUAACACUAAUGUUGAAAUUUAUAAACCGCACUGUGACUUUGCUUAGACUUAAGUUUCAGUUAAAAGGAGACAGGUUUAUGCCAGCGGUAUAACGCUGUCUCGUUUUAACAGUGUCUUAAGUCUGAGCAAAGUUAAAGCGCGCUCAAUAGAUCUCAGCCUAAAACUCGCAGAUUAAUGAUAAUAAAUACGCGGCCAGCUGAUAUGAUAUCGGUGCGAAUUUGUUAGUACACAAAAAAUAAACUAAACUUCUUUUACUAACAUCUUUUAUCAUCAUUUUCCUCGAAAACUAUCUUCAACACCCUGUAUCCUCAAAGUAGAUUCUUAGAAAUGUUUAUAAGUGAAAGAUUCAACUAGAUAGUCGAUAAACCAAAGUUUUAUGCCAACUGAUAACAAUCCAAACAAAUGAAACAGCGUUCCUUCAAAAUCAUGUUUUUAUUCAGUUCUUUAUUGCAACAUUCAGUCGCAAUCAUUAUGACUCGUUCCUGGAACAUAAAUGAAAAUAGAUAUUCUCCUAGUUUAGUUUCAAAAGUUUCGUGUACAACCAAAUCAGCACCAAUGGAAACCUUUUACUUUUUACAUAUUACACUAAAAAUACGUACUUAUCACAGACCAGAGGGCAAAAUUGUUUGAUGCAUCUAAAAGUUUUCGCCUGUUACAUGUGAAUUGAUUCAGGAAUUAAACUAAAACCCUUAGUCCAUUGUAUUAUUAGACGUUUUAAAAGGAGAGCCCUGUAAUCAGAUUCAGGAUUCAGCAUAAAAAGUCCCAAAAAAAAUUAAGAUAAAAAAAAAGUAUUCAGCGUAUAAUUAUUUUUCCAGAGCCCGGUACAAAAUCAAAUGAACUUUCAAAUAUUCCUAUGUAAUAGGCGAAACACUUCAAAUACGAUUUUUACUCACAAUUUGGCUGUUUAGGUAAUCAUGAAUAAUAAUUCUAAUACUUUCCCUAAUAUGUCGAGAUAAAUAGUGUUAGUAAAUUAUUUAUUUAUAUUAUAUUUGUUACAGGGAAGAUUGGUAACUUUGUAACGAUUGUUGAAGACACCUUUCAGAGACUUGCCGAACUUAAAGCUCGGACUAACUUUAACUGUUAACUUAAAAACCCGCUGUGGAAAAAAAUAUCCUAGAAUAAUUAUUAUAAAUUCGUCUUAGUUUUUAUAAUUCGGCAUCAUUCGGCGUUCUAUAAUCCAUACUUCAUAAUUUAGAUCCUAUAUAUUUUCUACAUAAUAUUGAUGUUACUCUGUCAAUAUUAUCGCGAUACGCAAUAUCGCGAUCCUGUAUUCAGGAAACAUUGAUGGUAUUGACAGCAUUACAAUGUAUCCGAAUAUUCUUGAAAUCCUGCGAUAUGGCAUUGAUAGUGAAACACCCCUUAUUAUGUUCGACUUUCUUUCGGUUCGUCCGAUAGACAAAACGCGGGCCAAAAUAUGAUAUCUGGUUAAAUGGCAUGUUAUUCUGGUUAAUUGGCAAGGAAUUCCGAACCAGUGGUAGAUGCAUUUGAUUCAAAAGUACUUGUAAAAGUUUUAUUUAAUAAAAAAAUAUUUUUACUUAUUUAUUUAUAUGAUUCCGCCCCUAAUCUCCCCUGUAACAACAAACUAGCCCUUAAUUAAACGUUAAAAUAAUUCCAACAUUAUCACCCAUACAACAUUUACAAGGAAUGUUCUAUUCCAAACAAAUAUACCACACCGAUGCAAUGGUACAGCCUUCCGUCAAAGUAUGGAAAUAUGGAAUGGUGGUUAAUUGCGUCACGCAAUCGCAAUCAUUACAACUGACUACUGAAGCCCUUAAGAAAAAAUUACAUUACUAGUUUUCAAGCUAUAUUGAAGUAAAAAAUUCAAUUCAAUGGAAUCCAAUCAAAUGCAAUCAAAGUUUGACAAUUAGAUCAAUCUUCUGUAGCCAAACUUUGAUGGGCUCAAUGCAAUAAUUUGACAAAACUCCCUUUCUGUAACUUUUCCUAGUGGCCAAAAUACACAGUUUGCUAAAUUACCAAGAACUGGUCAAAUAAAGUUCAUUUAUUCAAAAUAGCUACCCAUUGUAUUUGUAUACUCAUUGAUUGUCAAUUGUUAUAUCUUGUUCGUGAUAUCUAUUGAUUGAAAUUGCAUUACGCAACUAACCCUAAUCUAUAUAGGUAUUGAUAAAAUUUAAUUCUGGACGGCUUAGGAGAGUUAAUGUUUUAAUUUGUUUCAAGAGGUACAUCAUGAUAAAAUUAUCACGUCAUAUAACAACUUGAUUGGUCUAUUGAACAUGUCUCCACCCGCUUAGGGUGAACGCACACUUACUCGAGCCGAACGCGUCGAACGGGUCGAAUGAAACGAAUUUAAGAAUUCUGUAUCUGAAGUCUCAUGAAACCUCGCACAUUUCCGCGCGUCGAAGGUUCGGACGAUUCGACGCGGGGAAGUGUGCGAGGUUUCAUGAGACUUCAUAAGGCUUUCAUUCAUUUCAUUCGGCUCGGAUAAAUGUGUGUUCAUCUUUAGGUAAACGCAGUCUAACCGUGAGUUUGCACUAACGAAACAUUUACAUAAAAAUAUAUUGAAAAUUGUGUUUUCUGUUAAUGUGUCGAACUGCGUUUGCAUUGUCAUAUAAUUUAUUGAACAGACUUAUUUGACACUUCAUCAAAUCUUGAAAUCUGUCAAAGAAUUUACCCUUAUAAAAAUACAACA